rnacentral:rRNA from 1 species
UACGGGGGGAGCAAGCGUUGUUCGGAUUUACUGGGCGUAAAGGGCGCGGUAGGCGGUCGUGACAAGUCACUUGUGAAAUCUCCGGGCUUAACUCGGAACGGUCAAGUGAUACUGUCGGACUAGAGUACAGAAGGGGCAACUGGAAUUCUCGGUGUAGCGGUGAAAUGCGUAGAUAUCGAGAGGAACACCUGCGGCGAAGGCGGGUUGCUGGGCUGAUACUGACGCUGAGGCGCGAAAGCUAGGGGAGCGAACAGG